GACGAACGCUGGCGGCGUGCUUAACACAUGCAAGUCGUACGGUAAGGCCCUGUCUUGGGGAGACGAUUGGCUAACGAGUGGGUAAGACGUGAGUAAGCUACCCGCAACUGUCUUAGGACUCAAUUAAACUAGUUGGAAUACUUAACAGGUACUCGUUCUGGAUGGUUGGGGGGGGAAGGCUAGUUCGGUUGGUGGGGGAUGGACUGGCGGCUAGUCAGCUUGUUGGUGGGGUAGCGGCUUACGAAGGCAUUGACGGGCAGCCGGCCAGAGAGGGUGACCGGCCACAUUGGGACUGGGAUACGGCCCGGACUCCUACGGGAGGCAGCAGUGGGGAAUAUUGCACAAGGGGCGGAGGCCUAAUGCAGCAACGCCGCGGGCGGGAUGACGGCCUUCGGUUUGUAAACCGCUUUCGCCUGUAACGAAGCGUGAGUGACGGUAAUGGGUAAAGAAGCACCGGCUAACUACGUG
rnacentral:rRNA from 1 species